rnacentral:rRNA from 1 species
GAUGAACGCUGGCGGCGUACCUAAUACAUGCAAGUCGAGCGAACGGACGAGAAGCUUGCUUUUCUGAUGUUAGCGGCGGACGGGUGAGUAACACGUGGAUAACCUACCUAUAAGACUGGGAUAACUUCGGGAACCGGAGCUAAUACCGGAUAAUAUUUUGAACCGCAUGGUUCAAAAGUGAAAGACGGUCUUGCUGUCACUUAUAGAUGGAUCCGCGCUGCAUUAGCUAGUUGGUAAGGUAACGGCUUACCAAGGCAACGAUGCAUAGCCGACCUGAGAGGGUGAUCGGCCACACUGGAACUGAGACACGGUCCAGACUCCUACGGGAGGCAGCAGUAGGGAAUCUUCCGCAAUGGGCGAAAGCCUGACGGAGCAACGCCGCGUGAGUGAUGAAGGUCUUCGGAUCGUAAAACUCUGUUAUUAGGGAAGAACAUAUGUGUAAGUAACUGUGCACAUCUUGACGGUACCUAAUCAGAAAGCCACGGCUAACUACGUG